rnacentral:tRNA from 1 species
GCGACCCUAGCUCAGUUGGUAGAGCAACGGACUGAAAAUCCGUGUGUCCCCGGUUCGAUUCCGGGGGGUCGCACCA